rnacentral:rRNA from 1 species
GUGAAAUUGUUGAAAGGGAAACGCUUGAAGUCAGUCACGUUGGCUAGAAAUCAGCCCUGCUCUUGCUCGGUGUACUUUCUGGUUGAUGGGUCAGCAUCAAUUUCGACCAUUGGAUAAAGUCUCUGGGAAUGUGGCAUCUUCGGAUGUGUUAUAGCCCAGGGUCGCAUGCAGUGGUUGGGAUUGAGGAACUCAGCACGCCGCAAGGCCGGGUUUCGACCACGUUCGUGCUUAGGAUGCUGGCAUAAUGGCUUUAAUCGACCCGUCUUGAAACACGGACCAAGGAGUCUAACAUGCCUGCGAGUGUUUGGGUGGAAAAACCCAUGCGCGGAAUGAAAGUGAAAGUUGAGAUCCCCCUCGAAAGGGAGCAUUGACGCCCGGACCAGAGCUUUUGUGACGGAUCCGCGGUAGAGCAUGUAUGUUGGGACCCGAAAGAUGGUGAACUAUGCCUGAAUAGGGUGAAGCCAGAGGAAACUCUGGUGGAGGCUCGUAGCGAUUCUGACGUGCAAAUCGAUCGUCAAAUUUGGGUAUAGGGGCGAAAGACUAAUCGAACCAUCUAGUGGCUGGUUCCUGCCGAAGUUUCCCUCAGGAUAGCAGAAACUCAUUAUCAGAUUUAUGUGGUAAAGCGAAUGAUUAGAGGCCUUGGGGUUGAAACAACCUUAACCUAUUCUCAAACUUUAAAUAUGUAAGAACGAGCCGUCUCUUGACUGGACCGCUCGACGAUUGAGAGUUUCUA